UAGGUUUUAUUUCCUAGUUCCUCCUUACUCAAACAGGAUAGCUUCAUGCCAGUUAUUUUAUUUGAUUUUGUUGUUAGAAGCAGUAUAUUCAUUCUAUCAGAAAAACUGGGUGAAGAAUUAUUCAACAGUGAGCUUCCUGAUCCACAACAAUUAGGAUUUCAAUAACAUGAGCCUUGAGCAGGACUUUUGAGUCACUUCAAUCAAAAGUGAGUAACUACAACAAAUCUUUUCCUCCUUGGUGACUGAUUCAUUUUCAGUUAUAAGUAUUUUUGAAAGUGAGUUAACUCUUUUAAACCAAAGGACUAUAAUUUUAGAGCACUUCAAAGUGAUCUUUUCAUUUGAUACCUCAAAAUACUGCCAAGCCUUUUAAUAUUUUGCAGGGCAAGGCAACUUCUUGGCCCUAAAGAAAUCAUGUGCCACAGUGAUUCAGGGAUUAGAAAGAAAAGAGGCUACUGCAGCUCCAAUCCUGCCUUCUGAUUUACUGUGCGUACAUCCACAGUGUGGCCUGCGGGUUCAUGUUACUGUGGGUAAAACUCUUCACUUUCCCCAAUCGUCUCAUCAGUUAAGUCGCCCGAAAUCGGCUGCCACAGCCUACCAUUCGGAAAAGGAAAACUACUUUGAAGCAUAUAAAGCAUGCAGUGAAGAAUGAACAAAAGGAAAUGAGCUUACAUGGCAAUAAGGUUAAAAAGAAGGAAGACCUGACAGUGCUGAUUGUAAAAAUAGGAUUUUGUAGUUUUCUCUAGAGAUGUUGAAAAACCAGAGAGAGUAGGGGCAUCUGGGGGGCUCAGCUGGUUGAGCAUCUGACUCUUGGUUUCUACUCAAAUCAUGAUUUCAUGGGUCAUGUGAUCAAGCCCUGGACUGGGCUCCCCAAUCCCUAGGGAGUCUGCUUGAGCUUCUCUCUCCCUCUUCCUGCCCCCACUUGUGCGAGCUCUCUCUCUCUCACUCUCUCUCAAAUAAAUAAACAAAUCUUUAAAAACAAAACAACAGAGAGAGUCAGGGGUGCCACUGGUAAGUUAGGAUAAAGGACUAGAUAGAUAUUCCUAUGAUCCUCUUUUCUCAAGUGAAAAAUGCCAUUAAAAUAAAAUGUUCCAUGUAUCUUAACAUGUGUGUAAAACAAGGAGAUCACCUUCACUUGACACGAGCGCAUGGUGACCAAUGCUCCAGGGGCAUGGAGUACCUACCAGUGUCAGAGUUACUACUGUCUUCUAUUGUUUCGUUAGUCUCAGACUCAUCUUUUCAUCAGUACUACUGGCCCUCUGUUCCCUCAGUUCAUAUUAAUAAUAAUAAUAGUAACAAAUAAAGAAAUCAUUACCCUUUUCUAAUUUUUAUGACAUUUUGAAUCAUUACAAGUUGUAAUGAACAGAGAGGAAAAGAGAUAUUGUGUCAUGGUUCUCAAACAUCAUAUACACUUCAAAAAUCUUCCAUGGUUUCUAUGUGAUAUU